GUGGGGAAUAUUGGACAAUGGGCGAAAGCCUGAUCCAGCAAUGCCGCGUGAGUGAUGAAGGCCUUAGGGUUGUAAAGCUCUUUUACCAGGGAUGAUAAUGACAGUACCUGGAGAAUAAGCUCCGGCUAACUCCGUGCCAGCAGCCGCGGUAAUACGGAGGGAGCUAGCGUUGUUCGGAAUUACUGGGCGUAAAGCGCGCGUAGGCGGCUCAGCAAGUCAGGGGUGAAAUACCGGGGCUCAACCCCGGAACUGCCUUUGAAACUGAUAGGCUAGAAUCCUGGAGAGGCGAGUGGAAUUCCGAGUGUAGAGGUGAAAUUCGUAGAUAUUCGGAAGAACACCAGUGGCGAAGGCGACUCGCUGGACAGGUAUUGACGCUGAGGUGCGAAAGCGUGGGGAGCAAACAGGAUUAGAUACCCCAGUAGUCC
rnacentral:rRNA from 1 species